AUGGAGGCGGCUCUAGUGACUGUGGCGACGGGGGUCCUCAAACCUGUCCUCAGGAAGCUGGCCACCCUGCUCGGCGACGAGUACAAGCGUUUUAAGGGUGUGCGCAAGGAGAUCGGGUCUCUCACUCGUGAACUCGCCGCCAUGGAGGCUUUUAUCCUCAAGAUGUCGGAGGAGGAGGAGGAUCCCGAUGUGCAGGGUAAAGUCUGGAUGACUGAGGUGCGGGAAUUGUCCUAUGAUCUGGAGGAUGCCAUCGAUGACUUCAUGCAAAGUGUUGGUGACAAAGACGAAAAGCCAGAUGGCUUCAUUGAGAAGAUCAAGAGCUCGCUAGGGAAGUUGGGGAAGAUGAAGGCUCGCCACCAAAUCGGCAAGGAGAUUCAGGAUCUGAAGAAACAGAUCAUUGAGGUGGGCGAUAGGAACGCAAGGUACAAGGGUCGUGAGACCUUCUCCAAUACCAAAAAUGCGACCGUUGACCCUAGAGCUCUUGCUGUAUUUGAGCAUGCAUCGAAGCUUGUUGGAAUCGAUGAACCCAGGGCUGAGUUGAUCAAGUUGUUAACUGACGAGGAUGGAGUUGCAUCAACACAACAACACGUGAAGAUGGUCUCCAUUGUUGGAUCGGGAGGAAUGGGCAAAACAACUCUUGCAAACCAAGUGUAUCAAGAGCUAAAAGAGAAAUUCAAGUGUAAGGCUUUCAUAUCUGUGUCACGAAAUCCAGAUAUGACGAAUAUCUUGAGAACCAUUCUCAGUGAAGUCAGUGGCCAAGCUUAUGCUAGCACAAAAGCAGGGACUAUACAACAACUCAUCGGCAAGAUCACCAAUGUUCUAGCACACAAAAGAUCUGGUGGUUGCCAUCGAUGGCUUGUACAGGCGAUGUUUUCGGAUGCAACAGGAAGGCUCCGUUCUGGCAGUGAGAUGCAAUCUAUGGACAACAGCUUGAUGUAG
rnacentral:rRNA from 1 species